AUUACGGCUGAUGUUCGUUCUUCUUGAUGUGUGCACACACUCAAGUGUUUCCUCCAGAUCAACACUUCCUGAUGAUUAACUAACAUUAAUUACCCUCUUAAUGAGUGUGGAAACAGGAAAAAAUGCACUAAUUGUACGUAAGGGUGUCAUUUUUUUUCUUCCCCCAGGUAAGCGUCAAACAUUUCCUGUUAAUUCGACAUCAGAAAGUCUUCUGUCAAGAGGAUUAGUAACUCUCCUAAGAGGAAGAAGACGAUCUCCUCCACUGACAGAAUGCUGCUGCUAUCACUUUCCAGCAGGACAUGAGCUCGAGGCACGACGGAGCUACAGAGUGUGUAGCCAGAUUAAUGUUGUGCUACAUGUUUCAGCCAAAAUAUCUCUCCAUCACAUUAGGAGCUGCAUAAUUACCUAAAAAUAGUAUGUCCAUGUGAGCGGCUGGUGUCGUGCCAGCAACAACAAGGAGCUGCCAUCUGUCAGGCGAGAGCUUCAGAGAGACGACCAGUUGCCAUGCAAAACGAUCCUAACACUGACAGACCAGGAUUGAAAAAACAAAAGACGUAUUUGAACGAAUACGCGGCAGCACGGCUAGCACGACAGCUAAA